GGCACUGACCAACACCAGAGGGCACAGAGGGCACUCAGGUGCAGUGCAUCAACAGGAGGGGAUAAAAGGCUGGGCUAAAGAACAACAAAGAGCAGGGAUCUGCAGCCUUCUGCAGCGAUGUUCCUCUGUAUGGGCAGAGGCUUGAAGCCGUCUGAUGAGUUUCACAUAUGGAAAAGUGUAUGCCUGGAUGUGGCUGGGCAAGGACACAUUUCAAAGACAGUGUAACACUGAUCACAGAGAGAGGCUGUCAAAGCCACUGCAUCAGCACAGCUGCUCGGGAGCGUGUCGAAGGAGGGAGCUGUUACAAUCACCGAGGCCACCAGGUGGUGCCAUUGCCCCGCAGCACAAGAGCCCGCGGCCGCUCCCCCCAACCCAGCCGGGGCAAGGGCCUGCGUCAGGAACUGCUUUAGCCUCCCACAAACAUUUCCUUAUCUUCGUCCAAAAGUAGGAAAAAACCCACCCCAAACCGUAAUUGCUAAGACUUCCAUGCGUGCCUAUAAGAAAAAAGAAGUUAAUUUUUACUUGGGAUAGGGAUGAUUAGAUUUAGACCCAGGUAAUUUAACAUUUUGCUUCUCUAUUGACGUAAAUAAGAGCUACAUGCAUAAAGAGCAUAGAAGCUAUUGCAUUUACUACAUUACUAUUUCUGUGAUAAAUGAACCAAUGCUUACAUCUGCAAUGACUGAAACAAUAUCUCUUUAAGCUUUCUUCAAAUAAAUACGCUGACAAUGCCAAC